rnacentral:misc_RNA from 1 species
CGUCAUAUCAAAACUGAUGUGUAUGUAGGAUUAACCAGGUAACGCUUCUUUUCAGAGACAUGUAUACGAUACGAAUGCGUGAACUGUAAUGAAGAGCGCGAAGAUGUACUGCGUGGAAAAAUCAAUUGCGCUUGCGCGAACUUUGGGCAAGAUAUCCUGUCAUGACUACUAUUCUGUGAGAAACACAUAUCCGUUGUACUAUCAUUACGUCGUCAAAUCGAUCGGUUAACGGCUCACUUUUCUCUCCCGCGCAAGUUGCGCGAAAAUUAUUUCUAUAGCAUUUUUAUUUCUGUAUCAUUUCGACAGCAUUAUAUGACAUGCUCUGUAGCACUUCCAUAGUAUCAUAGCUUUUACUUACUACGUCGUAUUUAAUAUUUUAUGUUAUACGUAUGUCCAUACGUUUAUGACAAAUUUUAAGAAAAAUUGUGUUCAUUUUAAAGCAAUAAGGUAAAUUGUUUCAAUUAGAUAAUUUGCCCCAUAGGUAAAUUACCUUAUGCUAAAUGAAAAAUAUUCUAAAAUAUUCGACGUAUACUUCAGAAAAUAAGAGAUGUAAACCCCGAUCAACAUAUUCUCAGAUGUAGUUGAAUGCUCAAAGAGAAAUGAUCUGUAUAGUUGAACAUUUUAGAAUCCAACGAAUUUUGCUAUUCGCUAUUGGCAUAUGGCCCUACAACCAAUCAAAAUUUGUCCGAUUUCAAUAUUCAGUGUUUUUGAUUGUUACAAAUAGCUUUAUUAUAUUUCAGCUAACACCGUUUAUAACUUCCAAAUGUACUAGUGAUUUUAUUAUAAAAAUUCUGUCUAACAUUUUCUUUUGUCUUUCCUGCGUAAUUCAUCAAAUUUCUUUUUAGAUUAACAUAGACGUUGUGAAAUCUCUUAUGGAGUGUCUCCAGCAUGCCUGUAACGACUUAAAAGACGAAAACGAAAUCGCUAUAAUAAAGAAAUAUGCAAACAGCGCGGAAUAUAUCACAAUUCUAGUUACAUUAAUGGCGGGGUGCUGCGCAUUUAUUAUGACUCUUAUGCCAAUUUAUCCGCGGAUUCUUAGCACCUUUCUACUCGUAAAUAUAUCUCGACCACUUUACAAUAUGCAAUUCGUAACUGAAUAUUUUAUUGAUAAAGAAAAGAAUUUUUACUUACUUUUGCUACACACAUAUGCGUUCGUUUACGUUGCAAUAAUUGCGCUUGUGGGAGGAGGUAUGAUAGUAUGUGCAUACCUUAAACACAUUUCCGGACUAUUUAGCAUUGCUAGUUACCGUAUAGAACAAUCAAUGAUAUUAAAUAUUUAUGAAAAAACUGAUCUGAGGAACAAGAUGAUCGAGAAGAAGUUAUGUCUUGCAGUGGAUGUCCAUCGCACAGCCAUUGAGUUGUCUGACCUAUUUACGUCUACUUUUAAUGGAACAUACUUUAGUCUAAUUGUGAUAAGCGUACUUUGUUUAUGCCUUAGUUUAUAUGAACUACUUGAAACUGCAUUGCUCCGAGAAAAAGUAGAGGAAUUUCUAUUGCAUCUUAUAUUUGCAUCUGCUAUACUUGUAUAUUAUUAUCUGUCGAACUCUUGCGGUGAAGAAAUUAUACAGCACUACAGCAACAUGUUUUCUACUGCAUACAGCAUUCAGUGGUAUACGGCUCCUAUACGCAUACAGAAAUUCAUAUUGUUCCUGUUGCAAAGAAGCUGUAAGAUGCACUUUAUCAAAAUAGGUGGACUGUUUAUAACAUCUUUAGAGGGCUUUGCUUCGUUGUGUACUGCAUCGGUAUCUUACUUUACUGUUAUAUAUUCUGUACAGAAGUGAUACCAGUAUCAAUCAUCUGAUAGUAUACUGAAAAUAUUGUUUCUAUAUCUGUACAUAUAAAAGUAAUUGUUAAUUUACAUUUAAUAUCUUACAAACUGAAAUAUUUUCGCGGAACCUGCUAAACAUCUAUAAUCGUUAUGGAAAGGAUAUAUCCGCGGAUGUCAUAUAAUCAAAAUGAUCUUUAUUAGGAUAUAAUUAUAAAAUUGUUCUAUUAAAUUAUGUGCUAGGAAUAAAAUGCAGAACAUGAAGACGUACUGGAAAUGGUUGGAAAUGUCAAUUGCGCGAAGUUAGAUCAAGUUAUCAACUUAUCAAGUUAUCUACUUUUCUGUGAGAAAUAAAUAUAUGUUGUACUUUUAUGAAGG